rnacentral:lncRNA from 1 species
AUUAUGGAUGUCUGUUGGAUUGUGAUGCUGUAUAAGUAUCAGCUAAUAUAAUCAUAUGAUUUCUCUUCUUGAGCCUUUGAUGCGUAGGAAUACACGGAUUGACUGUUGGCUAUUGAACUAGCCCUGCAUACUUGGAACAAAUCUCCCUUGUUCAUGGCUUUGGUAUCAGGAUGCUGAUGGCCUCAUAAAAUGAGUUACGGAGGACUCCCUCUUUUUCUAUUGAUUGGAAUAGUUUCAGAAGGAAUGGUACCAGCUCCUCCUUGUACCUCUGGUAGAAUUGGGCUGUGAAUCCGUCUGAUCCUGGACUUUUUUUGGUUGGUAAGCUAUUAAUUAUUGCCUCAAUUUCAGAGCCUGUUACUGGUCUAUUCAGAGAUUCAACUUCUUCCUGGUUUAGUCUUGGGAGGGUGGUAUGUGUCGAGCAA